rnacentral:rRNA from 1 species
UACGUAGGGUGCAAGCGUUAAUCGGAAUUACUGGGCGUAAAGCGUGCGCAGGCGGUUUUGUAAGACUGUCGUGAAAUCCCCGGGCUCAACCUGGGAAUGGCGAUGGUGACUGCAAGGCUAGAGUUUGGCAGAGGGGGGGUAGAAUUCCACGUGUAGCAGUGAAAUGCGUAGAUAUGUGGAGGAACACCGAUGGCGGAGGCAGCCCCCCUGGGUCAAAACUGACGCUCAUGCACGAAAGCGUGGGGAGCAAACAGG